ACUGGCACUCAGAGUAGCCCUUCUGCAGCCCCAGGUAUAACCCACUCGGAGCCGGAUGGGCUAGAUGUUCUAUCUUCAGCUGGACCCUCUAGCUGGCCGUGUUGUCCAAAGCCCUGUGGGUAUCCAUGAGCUUGGUUUCAUAUGGCACUGCAGGAGAGGAAGCUACAAAAGAAUGGGAGAUAUGGACUUGAUUGGGACCCUCUCCAGCUUAUCAUCAUCAUUGGCUUCUUCUCGGUGCUUCUGAAACCCGGGACAGGAAGAUGCCACAAACCCACUCACUGUGUAGUUGUUCAUCAAUAAACUCAUUAGCUGAAA